CCUACGGGACGCAGCAGUAGGGAAUUUUCGUCAAUGGGCGCAAGCCUGAACGAGCAAUGCCGCGUGAACGAGGAAGGUCUUCGGAUCGUAAAGUUCUGUUGACGGGGAAAAAAGACCGGGAAAGGAAAUGAUCCCGGAGGAGAUAUUACCCGUCGAGGAAGUCACGGCUAACUACGUGCCAGCAGCCGCGGUAAUACGUAGGUGGCAAGCGUUGUCCGGAAUUACUGGGUGUAAAGGGAGCGUAGGCGGGAAGCCAAGUCAGCUGUGAAAACUACGGGCUUAACCUGUAGACUGCAGUUGAAACU
rnacentral:rRNA from 1 species